GCCGGCGUCUCGGGGCGCGCCUCGGCUGCCUGCCCGGCGGUCUCCGGGCCCUCUUCCAGACCGGCCACCGGAGCUUGAGCUCCUGCAUCGACCGAAGUGGGAGUGAUGCUGCCUCUCUUCUGACCUCCGCUAAGAAACAGGGAGACCAUUACAUCCUCAGUGGCUCCAAGGCCUUCAUCAGUGGUGCUGGUGAGUCAGACAUCUAUGUGGUCAUGUGCCGAACAGGAGGACCAGGCCCCAAGGGCAUCUCAUGCAUAGUUGUUGAGAAGGGGACCCCUGGCCUCAGCUUUGGCAAGAAGGAGAAAAAGGUGGGGUGGAACUCCCAGCCAACACGAGCUGUGAUCUUCGAAGACUGUGCCGUCCCUGUGGCCAACAGAAUUGGGAGCGAGGGGCAGGGCUUCCUCAUUGCCGUGAAAGGACUGAACGGAGGGAGGAUCAAUAUUGCUUCCUGCUCCCUGGGGGCUGCCCACGCCUCUGUCAUCCUCACCCGAGACCACCUCAAUGUCCGGAAGCAGUUUGGAGAGCCUCUGGCCAGUAACCAGUACUUGCAAUUCAAACUGGCUGAUAUGGCAACAAGGCUGGUGGCCGCGCGGCUGAUGAUCCGCAAUGCAGCAGUGGCUCUGCAGGAAGAGAGGAAAGAUGCAGUGGCCUUGUGCUCCAUGGCCAAGCUCUUUGCUACAGAUGAAUGCUUUGCUAUCUGCAA
rnacentral:sRNA from 1 species